GACGAACCGUGCGAACGUUAUUCGGAAUCACUGGGCUUAAAGCGCGUGUAGGCGGGGCGGCACGUCGGUCGCUGAAAGCCCCCGGCUCAACCGGGGAACGGGCGCCGAUACGACCGCCCUCGAGGAACGUAGGGGGACCUGGAACUUCCGGUGGAGCGGUGAAAUGCGUUGAGAUCGGAAGGAACGCCCGUGGCGAAAGCGGGCGCCUGGACCCCGCCUGACGCUGAGACGCGAAAGCCAGGGGAGCGAACGGG
rnacentral:rRNA from 1 species